AGAGUGAGAGAGAGAGAGAAUAAGAAGAAGAAAAACUUGCUUUCUCUUUACCCUUCACCUCAUGUCCCAUGUGAUGGUAACAAAACCCUAGUCUGGGCCCCUUUCUGGACACACCACCAAUUAUUAUAACAACCUUUGAGUCCAUCUUUAGCUAAGAAAUUUUCAAUGGCAGGAAAGUGGACAAGGGUUUGCAAGCAUAUGAAACUUGCACCUCUAAUUCAAAUAAAUCAUAGGAAGAGUACGUCAAUUCACGUGCAUCGUGCUGGAGGUGAUAGAGAAAGAAA